rnacentral:rRNA from 1 species
GGUUAAGCGACUAAGCGUACACGGUGGAUGCCCUGGCAGUCAGAGGCGAUGAAGGACGUGCUAAUCUGCGAAAAGCGUCGGUAAGGUGAUAUGAACCGUUACAGCCGGCGAUGUCCGAAUGGGGAAACCCAGUGCAAUUCGUUGCACUAUCGUUAACUGAAUACAUAGGUUAACGAGGCGAACCGGGGGAACUGAAACAUCUAAGUACCCCGAGGAAAAGAAAUCAACCGAGAUUCCCCCAGUAGCGGCGAGCGAACGGGGAGCAGCCCAGAGUCUGAAUCAGCUUGUGUGUUAGUGGAACGGUCUGGAAAGUCCGACGGUACAGGGUGAUAGUCCCGUACACCAAAAUGCACAGGUUGUGAACUCGAAGAGUAGGGCGGGACACGUGGUAUCCUGUCUGAAUAUGGGGGGACCAUCCUCCAAGGCUAAAUACUCCUGACUGACCGAUAGUGAACCAGUACCGUGAGGGAAAGGCGAAAAGAACCCCGGCGAGGGGAGUGAAAAAGAACCUGAAACCGUGUACGUACAAGCAGUGGGAGCACCUUCGGGUGUGACUGCGUACCUUUUGUAUAAUGGGUCAGCGACUUAUAUUCUGUAGCAAGGUUAACCGUAUAGGGGAGCCGCAGGGAAACCGAGUCUUAACUGGGCGUUAAGUUGCAGGGUAUAGACCCGAAACCCGGUGAUCUAGCCAUGGGCAGGUUGAAGGUUGGGUAACACUAACUGGAGGACCGAACCGACUAAUGUUGAAAAAUUAGCGGAUGACUUGUGGCUGGGGGUGAAAGGCCAAUCAAACCGGGAGAUAGCUGGUUCUCCCCGAAAGCUAUUUAGGUAGCGCCUCGUGAACUCAUCUUCGGGGGUAGAGCACUGUUUCGGCUAGGGGGUCAUCCCGACUUACCAACCCGAUGCAAACUACGAAUACCGAAGAAUGUUAUCACGGGAGACACACGGCGGGUGCUAACGUCCGUCGUGAAGAGGGAAACAACCCAGACCGCCAGCUAAGGUCCCAAAGUCAUGGUUAAGUGGGAAACGAUGUGGGAAGGCACAGACAGCCAGGAUGUUGGCUUAGAAGCAGCCAUCAUUUAAAGAAAGCGUAAUAGCUCACUGGUCGAGUCGGCCUGCGCGGAAGAUGUAACGGGGCUAAACCAUGCACCGAAGCUGCGGCAGCGACACUAUGUGUUGUUGGGUAGGGGAGCGUUCUGUAAGCCUGCGAAGGUGUGCUGUGAGGCAUGCUGGAGGUAUCAGAAGUGCGAAUGCUGACAUAAGUAACGAUAAAGCGGGUGAAAAGCCCGCUCGCCGGAAGACCAAGGGUUCCUGUCCAACGUUAAUCGGGGCAGGGUGAGUCGACCCCUAAGGCGAGGCCGAAAGGCGUAGUCGAUGGGAAACAGGUUAAUAUUCCUGUACUUGGUGUUACUGCGAAGGGGGGACGGAGAAGGCUAUGUUAGCCGGGCGACGGUUGUCCCGGUUUAAGCAUGUAGGCUGAUUGUCCAGGCAAAUCCGGAUAAUCAAGGCUGAGGUGUGAUGACGAGGCACUACGGUGCUGAAGUAACAAAUGCCCUGCUUCCAGGAAAAGCCUCUAAGCAUCAGGUAACAUCAAAUCGUACCCCAAACCGACACAGGUGGUCAGGUAGAGAAUACCAAGGCGCUUGAGAGAACUCGGGUGAAGGAACUAGGCAAAAUGGUGCCGUAACUUCGGGAGAAGGCACGCUGGUGUGUAGGUGAAGUCCCUGCGGAUGGAGCUGAGACCAGUCGAAGAUACCAGCUGGCUGCAACUGUUUAUUAAAAACACAGCACUGUGCAAACACGAAAGUGGACGUAUACGGUGUGACGCCUGCCCGGUGCCGGAAGGUUAAUUGAUGGGGUUAUCCGUAAGGAGAAGCUCUUGAUCGAAGCCCCGGUAAACGGCGGCCGUAACUAUAACGGUCCUAAGGUAGCGAAAUUCCUUGUCGGGUAAGUUCCGACCUGCACGAAUGGCGUAAUGAUGGCCAGGCUGUCUCCACCCGAGACUCAGUGAAAUUGAACUCGCUGUGAAGAUGCAGUGUACCCGCGGCAAGACGGAAAGACCCCGUGAACCUUUACUAUAGCUUGACACUGAACAUUGAGCCUUGAUGUGUAGGAUAGGUGGGAGGCUUUGAAGCGUGGACGCCAGUCUGCGUGGAGCCAACCUUGAAAUACCACCCUUUAAUGUUUGAUGUUCUAACGUUGGCCCCUGACCGGGGUUGCGGACAGUGUCUGGUGGGUAGUUUGACUGGGGCGGUCUCCUCCCAAAGCGUAACGGAGGAGCACGAAGGUUAGCUAAUCCUGGUCGGACAUCAGGAGGUUAGUGCAAUGGCAUAAGCUAGCUUGACUGCGAGCGUGACGGCGCGAGCAGGUGCGAAAGCAGGUCAUAGUGAUCCGGUGGUUCUGAAUGGAAGGGCCAUCGCUCAACGGAUAAAAGGUACUCCGGGGAUAACAGGCUGAUACCGCCCAAGAGUUCAUAUCGACGGCGGUGUUUGGCACCUCGAUGUCGGCUCAUCACAUCCUGGGGCUGAAGUAGGUCCCAAGGGUAUGGCUGUUCGCCAUUUAAAGUGGUACGCGAGCUGGGUUUAGAACGUCGUGAGACAGUUCGGUCCCUAUCUGCCGUGGGCGCUGGAGAAUUGAGGGGGGCUGCUCCUAGUACGAGAGGACCGGAGUGGACGCAUCACUGGUGUUCGGGUUGUCAUGCCAAUGGCACUGCCCGGUAGCUAAAUGCGGAAGAGAUAAGUGCUGAAAGCAUCUAAGCACGAAACUUGCCCCGAGAUGAGUUCUCCCUGAGACUAUAAGUCUCCUGAAGGAACGUUAAAGACGAUGACGUUGAUAGGCCGGGUGUGUAAGCGCAGCGAUGCGUUGAGCUAACCGGUACUAAUGAACCGUGAGGCUUAACCUU